rnacentral:lncRNA from 1 species
GAAGGCAAGUGCAUAAGAUGAGAUCAUACAAAAAGAAAAACAGUAUGUAUGUCCUUUAUAAGAAAAAAAAAAAGAAAAUAAGAAAAGAAAAAAAAAUGCACUUGCCGAGACCUUAGAGAUAUGAAAGGCUCGGAAGAAAAAAAAAAAAGAAAAUAAGAAAAGAAAAAAAAUUGCACUUGCUGAGACCUUAGAGUCCAACAGAUAUGAAAUGCUCGGAAAGUUGAGUAGAAAAAGAGUCAAAAAAGUUUUUACCCCAAAAAAUUAU